UUCUAUUUUUGCAGACAAGCCUGGGGCCCGGCCAGAGGUCAGCUGGAGCACCCUCCUUUAUCAUAUAAGAGGAAUUUGAUUGCUACACUGGCUACUGGUGGCAGCCAAAGACGAAAGAAGGUCCGAGCAGUUGCUACGGGAACGGAUGCGGUCCACGGGUAGUGGCCUCACACAGUAUGACUACUUGUCAUCAUGUGAUCUCCUCCUAGUGCAUGGACCUCAGUGUCUGGUCCUGAACAGGCAAUCAGAAGUGGGUGUGGCUGAGUUCC